CUUCCCGCUGAGCCUCCGCCGGGUUUCGCGACCGAGGGUCUGGGGAGCUACGUGGAGAUCAAGGCCAAGAGCAGCUCCGCCAGAUCACCUUUCAGGUCACUCCUCAGAAACGGCUUUCUCAGCCAUCCAUCUAAAUGAGCACACAAAGAGGCUGUGGGGGGUUGUUCCUGGAAGAACUGAAAUCAGGUCUUUGCAGAUCCGCUGGUUCCUGAGUGAUUAUAUACAGUGCUGGCUGUCAGGAGACAGUCUCCUUGUUUAUUAGCAAUGACCAGCUUGGAUGACAGAUGGCAUCUGCUGGAUGGCAAGUGGGAGAGGGAAAUCGG